CAACCAUCAAGCCCCGGGCUUGUGUUGGGGCCCUGCGGCUGCCGCAGGCCCUGAAAAACAGUGGCGGGCUCGCUGUCACACCGAGCGUAGUAAUACAUCUCGCUUUGGACGUGCGGCGGGUUCUUGCCGUUAAACACCCCCCUUCUCAA
rnacentral:misc_RNA from 1 species